GGAGGAAUAUUGGUCAAUGGGCGGGAGCCUGAACCAGCCAAGCCGCGUGAGGGAGGAAGGCCCUAUGGGUCGUAAACCUCUUUUGUCAGGGAACAAAAGCGAGUAUGUAUACUAGUCUGAGUGUACCUGAAGAAAAAGCAUCGGCUAACUCCGUGCCAGCAGCCGCGGUAAUACGGAGGAUGCGAGCGUUAUCCGGAUUUAUUGGGUUUAAAGGGUGCGUAGGCGGCGGUGCAAGUCAGCGGUAAAAGCCCGGGGCUCAACCCCGGCGAGCCGUUGAAACUGCAGUGCUAGAGAAGGCGAGAGGUACGCGGAAUGCGCAGUGUAGCGGUGAAAUGCUUAGAUAUUGCACAGAACUCCGAUUGCGAAGGCAGCGUACUGGCGCCUGACUGACGCUGAGGCACGAAAGCGUGGGGAUCGAACAGGAUUAGAUACC
rnacentral:rRNA from 1 species